rnacentral:lncRNA from 1 species
CCAACUUGUUUUCAGUUUGUUUUCUUUGCAAAUAUCCAAAUAUACAGGAAAAAAACAUUGAAAAACAAAUUGUAUACUAAUACUAUAUUUUCUAUACAAAUCUUUAAAAAUAGAAAUCAAUAGAAACAAUUCACAACCAAUUAAAGCUAAGAAAAUGGAAAAAAAUAACUCCAUAAUACAACACACAAUUACAAAAUUACAAAUUUACUACUCACAGAAUUUGACUUGAACAUUGUUAAAGAACACCAACAUGAAAGCAAACAUCACAACUUUCAAUACCAUUUACAAUACGAUGCAGGUUUUGAUGAGUUUGGAAUUUGAAGAAUGAUGA